rnacentral:rRNA from 1 species
GAUGAACGCUGGCGGCGUGCUUAAUACAUGCAAGUCGAGCGAACAGACGAGGAGCUUGCUCCUCUGACGUUAGCGGCGGACGGGUGAGUAACACGUGGAUAACCUACCUAUAAGACUGGGAUAACUUCGGGAAACCGGCGCUAAUACCGGAUAAUAUAUUGAACCGCAUGGUUCAAUAGUGAAAGACGGCUUUGCUGUCACUUAUAGAUGGAUCCGCGCCGCAUUAGCUAGUUGGUAAGGUAACGGCUUACCAAGGCAACGAUGCGUAGCCGACCUGAGAGGGUGGUCGGCCGCACUGGAACUGAGACACGGUCCAGAGUCCUACGGGAGGGAGCAGUAGGGAAUCUUCCGCAAUGGGCGAAAACCUGACGGAGCAGCGCCGCGUGAGUGAUGAAGGUCUUCGGAUCGUAAAACUCUGUUAUUGGGGAAGAACAAAUGUGUAAGUAACUAUGCACGUCUUGACGGUACCUAAUCAGAAAGCCACGGCUAACUACGUG